rnacentral:rRNA from 1 species
UGGGAUAACCACUGGAAACGGUGGCUAAUACCGGAUAUGACCUCCUUCUGCAUGGUUGGUGGUGGAAAAGUCCGCUGGACAGGGAUGAGCUCGCGGCCUAUCAGCUUGUUGGUGGGGUAAUGGCCUACCAAGGCGACGACGGGUAGCCGGCCUGAGAGGGUGACCGGCCACACUGGGACUGAGACACGGCCCAGACUCCUACGGGAGGCAGCAGUGGGGAAUAUUGGACAAUGGGCGAAAGCCUGAUCCAGCAACGCCGCGUGAGGGAUGACGGCCUUCGGGUUGUAAACCUCUUUCAGCAGGGACGAAGCGAAAGUGACGGUACCUGCAGAAGAAGGACCGGCCAACUACGUGCCAGCAGCCGCGGUAAUACGUAGGGUCCGAGCGUUGUCCGGAAUUAUUGGGCGUAAAGGGCUCGUAGGCGGUUUGUCACGUCGGGAGUGAAAACUCAGGGCUUAACCCUGAGCGUGCUUCCGAUACGGGCUGACUAGAGGGAUGCAGGGGAGAACGGAAUUCCUGGUGUAGCGGUGGAAUGCGCAGAUAUCAGGAGGAACACCGGUGGCGAAGGCGGUUCUCUGGGCAUUUCCUGACGCUGAGGAGCGAAAGCAUGGGGAGCGAACAGGAUUAGAUACCCUGGUAGUCCAUGCCGUAAACGUUGGGCGCUAGGUGUGGGGACCUUCCACGGUUUCCGUGCCGCAGCUAACGCAUUAAGCGCCCCGCCUGGGGAGUACGGCCGCAAGGCUAAAACUC